rnacentral:piRNA from 1 species
UCUGACUCUGUUAUGUUACAGACAAGGAGGG